UACGUAGGGGGCAAGCGUUGUCCGGAUUUAUUGGGCGUAAAGAGCGCGUAGGCGGUCUGUCAGGUCUGCUGUGAAAACUCGAGGCUCAACCUCGAGACGCCGGUGGAAACCAUCAGACUAGAGUCCGGAAGAGGAGAGUGGAAUUCCUGGUGUAGCGGUGAAAUGCGCAGAUAUCAGGAAGAACACCCGUGGCUAAGGCGGCUCUCUAGUACGGUACUGACGCUGAGACGCGAAAGCGUGGGGAGCGAACAGG
rnacentral:rRNA from 1 species